GGGUGAGUAACACGUGGGUAACCUGCCCUAAAGUCUGGGAUACCACUUGGAAACAGGUGCUAAUACCGGAUAACAACAAUAGCUGCAUGGCUAUUGCUUAAAAGGCGGCGAAAGCUGUCGCUAAAGGAUGGACCCGCGGUGCAUUAGCUAGUUGGUAAGGUAGUGGCUUACCAAGGCGACGAUGCAUAGCCGAGUUGAGAGACUGAUCGGCCACAUUGGGACUGAGACACGGCCCAAACUCCUACGGGAGGCAGCAGUAGGGAAUCUUCCACAAUGGGCGAAAGCCUGAUGGAGCAACGCCGCGUGAGUGAAGAAGGUUUUCGGAUCGUAAAGCUCUGUUGUUGGUGAAGAAGGAUAGAGGUAGUAACUGGCCCCUAUUUGACGGUAAUCAACCAGAAAGUCACGGCUAACUACGUGCCAGCAGCCGCGGUAAUACGUAGGUGGCAAGCGUUGUCCGGAUUUAUUGGGCGUAAAGCGAGCGCAGGCGGAAAGAUAAGUCUGAUGUGAAAGCCCCCGGCUUAACCGAGGAAUUGCAUCGGAAACUGUGUUUCUUGAGUGCAGAAGAGGAGAGUGGAACUCCAUGUGUAGCGGUGGAAUGCGUAGAUAUAUGGAAGAACACCAGUGGCGAAGGCGGCUCUCUGAUCUGUAACUGACGCUGAGGCUCGAAAGCAUGGGUAGCGAACAGGAUUAGAUACCCUGGUAGUCCAUGCCGUAAACGAUGAGUGCUAAGUGUUGGGA
rnacentral:rRNA from 1 species